rnacentral:rRNA from 1 species
UUAUGGAGGGUUUGAUCCUGGCUCAGGGUUAACGCUAGCAGCGUGCCUUAGCCAUGCAAGUCGUGCGGGCUGGGGGCAACCCCAGUCAGCGGCGGACGGCGGAGUAACACGUGACUAACCUGCCCCUAGGAGGGGGAUAACCCACCGAAAGGUGGGCUAAUACCCCGUACUGUGGAUGGGUGAAAUUCCCAUCCAUGAAAGGGGGCCUUUUUGGCUCCCGCCUAGGGAGGGGGUCGCGGCCCAUCAGCUAGUUGGUGGGGUAAAAGCCCACCAAGGCUAUGACGGGUAGCCGGCGUGAGAGCGCGGCCGGCCCGAGGGGCACUGAGACACGGGCCCCACCCCUACGGGGGGCAGCAGGCUGGAAAUUUGGGCAAUGGGGGAAACCCUGACCCAGCGACGCUGCGUGCGGGAUGAAGCCCUUCGGGGUGUAAACCGCUGUCGGGGAGGACGAAGGUACAAGUGGCUAAUAUCCACUUGUACUGACGGUACUUCCAGAGGAAGCCCUGGCUAACCUCGUGCCAGCAGCCGCGGUAAUACGGGGAGGGCAAGCGUUACCCGGAAUUACUGGGCUUAAAGGGGAGGUAGGCGGUUAGGAAAGUCCAGUGUGUAAUCCUGCGGCUCAACCGCAGGGCUGCACUGGAUACUACCUAACUAGAGGGCGCCAGAGGAGAGCGGAACUCCCGGUGUAGCGGUGAAAUGCGUAGAUAUCGGGGGGAACACCAGUGGCGAAAGCGGCUCUCUGGGGCGUCCCUGACGCUGAACUCCGAAGGCUGGGGGAGCAAAGGGGAUUAGAUACCCCUGUAGUCCCAGCUGUAAACGAUGUGGGCUAGACAUUGGUCCCUUUUGGGAUCAGUGUCGCAGGGAAACCGUUAAGCCCACCGCCUGGGGACUACGCCCGCAAGGGUGAAACUCAAAGGAAUUGGCGGGGGCCCGCACAAGUGGCGGAGCGCGUGGUUUAAUUCGAUGCUGACCGAAGAACCUCACCUGGGCUUGACAUGCUGGUGGUACCUCGGUGGAAACACUGGGGGACCCCUUCGGGGGAGCCAGCACAGGUGCUGCACGGCUGUCGUCAGCUCGUGCCGUGAGGUGUUGGGUUAAGUCCCGCAACGAGCGCAACCCCUGCCCUUAGUUGCCAGCAGCACUCACGUGGUGGCUGGGCACUCUAAGGGGACUGCCCUCGAUGAGAGGGAGGAAGGAGGGGAUGACGUCAAGUCCGUGUGGCCCUUAUGCCCAGGGCUACACACGCGCUACAAUGGCGGCUACAGUGGGAUGCAAGCCCGCGAGGGUGAGCAAAUCCCUAAAAGCCGCCUCAGUUCGGAUUGCAGGCUGCAACUCGCCUGCAUGAAGACGGAGUCACUAGUAAUCGCCUAUCAGCUAUGGGGCGGUGAAUACGUUCUCGGGCCUUGCACACACCGCCCGUCACGCCACGGGAGUCGGGGGUACCCAGAGUCCCACUCUAAUAAGUGGGAUGAGGGUAAACCCGGCGACUGGGGCGAAGUCGUAACAAGGUAGCCGUACGGGAACGUGCGGCUGGAUCACCUCCUUU